rnacentral:lncRNA from 10 species
CUGCUGGGGUUUCCUUCCACGUUGUGGCGGCUUUGUUCUUUCGGUGUUUGCAGCAAAUCGUGCUGCAGUUCACUCUUUGGGUCUGCGUGGCGUUUGUGAGCUGUGGACACUCACCGGGAAGGUCUGCAGCUUCACUCUUCAAGUCAGCGAGACCACGAACCUAUGGGGAGGGAUGAACAACUCCCAACGCGCCGACUUUAAGAGCAGUAACUUUCACCGCGAGGGUCCGUGGGUCCGCGGCUUCAUUCUUGAAGUCAGAGGCCAAGAACCCACCAAUUAUGGCCACACUAUCCGUAGGGAAAUUUUUCGGGAGUUGAAAGUUAAAGGUGGAUUUUCGAGUGCAUGAGUGAUGGGGGUCUCACUGUGUUGUGCAGGCUGGCCUCAAAAACUUCUGGGCUCAAGCAAUCCUCACACUUCAGCCUCCCAAGUAGCUGGGACUACAGGUGUGUGCUGCCAUGCCCAGCUGAUUCACAUAAUUCCAAGUUACGCUUUUUGCCUUAACAUCCAUCUUUAUUUGAUAUCAUUAUGGCUAUACUAGCUUUCUUUUGAUUGGUGUUUGCAUAGUAUAUCUUUUUCCAUUUGUAAAGUUUUAUUCUUUAUAUAGCUUUGUGUUCAAGAUGUUAUGCUCAUAAGCAGCAUAUGACUGUUAUUUAUGUUGUUAUCCAGUUCAAAAACCUGUAUAUUUCAUUUAGGGAUCUUGAUCCAUUUAUAUUUAACAUAAUUAAUAAUAUGUUCAGGUUUAAAUUUUCCAUCUUACUAUUUACUUUGAUUUGUUCUACCCCUUUUAUGUUUAGUUUUGUCUCAUUUCUUUUUUUUUUUUUUUUGAGACGGAGUUUCCCUCUUUUGCCCAGGCUGGAGUGCAGUGGUGUGAUCUCGGCUGACUGUGACCUCCACCUUCCAGUUUCAAGCAAUUCUCUUGCCUCAGUCUCCUGAGUAGCUGGGAUUACAGGUGCCCGCCACCCCGCCCGGCUAAUUUUUGUAUUUUUUAGUAGAAACAGGGUUUCACCAUGUUGGCCAGGCUAGUCUGGAACUCCUGACCUUGUGAUCCGCCUGCCUCGGCCUCCCAAAGUGUUUGGAUUACAGGCAUGAGCCACUGCACCCGGCCUGUCUCAUUUCAUUUUUACUUUGGGAUUGACUGGAUAAUUUUUACUGUUUCAUUUUCCCCCAUCUAUUAACUGAUUAAUUAAACAUUUUUAACAGCUUUAUUAAGAUAUAAUUUAUAUACUUACAAUUACCUGGAUUUUAUUUUUUUAUUUUUGCCUUUUUAAUAAUUUCAACUUUUAUUUUAGAUUCAUGGGGUCCAUGUGUAGGUUUGUUACCUGGGUAUAUUUCAUGAUGCUGAGGUCUGGGGUAUGAUUGCUCUUGUCACCCAGGUAGUAAGUAUAGUACCCAAUAGCUAGUUUUUCAGUGCUUGGCUCCUCCCAUCCUUCCCCCUCUAGUAGUCCCCAGUGUCUGUUGCUGCCAUCUUUCUGUCCAUGAGUACCCAGUGUUUAGCUGCCACUUAUAAGUGAGAACAUACAGUAUGUGAUUUUCUGUUCCUGCAUUAAUUUGCUUAGGAUAAUGGCUUCCAGCUGCAUCCAUGUUGCUGCAAAGGACAUGAUUUCAUCUUUUUUUAAUGGCUGCAACCUGUUUAAAGUAUACAAUCAACAGGUUUUGUUAUUUUACACUAUUAAUAUAUAUAUAUUUUUAAUUAGAGACGGGGUUUCACCAUGUUGCCCAGGCAGGUCGCGAACUCCUGAGCUCAAGCAAUCCACCCACCCCAGCCUCCCAAAGUGCUAGGAUUACAGGUAUGAGCCACUGUGCUCAGCCCAAUUUUUUUCGAUUGUGGUAAAAUAUACAUAAAAUUUUCCAUUUUACGCAUUUUUAAAUUGUGACAUUAAUUACAUUCACGGUGUUGUACAACCAUCACCAUUAUCUACUUUCAAAACUUUUUCAUCAUCCCAACAGAAACUCUGUAACAAUUAAACAAUAACUUCCCAUCUAGCUAACUUCCCCCGUCCCCCUGCUAACUUUUUUUUUUUUUUUUUGAGACGAAGUCUUGCUCUGUAGCCCAGGCUGGAGUGCAGUGACGGGAUCUCGGCUCACUGCAAGCUCUGCCUCCCGGGUUCACGCUGUUCUCCUGCCUCAGCCUCCCGAGUAGCUGGGACUACAAGUGCCCGCCACCACGCCCGGCUAAUUUUUUUUGUAUUUUUAGUAGAGACGUGGUUUCACCGUGUUAGCCAGGAUGGUCUCGGUCUCCUGACCUCGUGAUCCGCCUGCCUCGGCCUCCCAAAGUGCUGGGAUUACAGGUGUGAGCCACCGUGCCUGGCCAUCCCCUGCUAACUUUUAAUCUACUUUCUGUCUGUAUGGAUUUGCCUAUUGUAGAAAUUUCAUAUAAGUGGAAUCACACAAUAUUUGUGCUUUUGUGUUUGGUUUACGUUUUGUUUUUUUUGUUGUUGUUUUUUUUUUUGAGAUGGAGUCUCACUCUGCUGCCCAGGCUGGAGUGCAAUGUUGCUCACCGCAACCUAUGCCUCCCAGGUUCAAGUGAUUCUGCUGCCUCGCCCUCCUGAGUAGCUGGGAUUACAGGUGCCCACCAUCAUGCCCAGCUAAUUUUUUUGUAUUUUUAGUAGAGAUGGAGUUUCGCUAUGUUGGUCAGGCUGGUCUAGAACUCCUGACCUCAAGUGAUCCUCCCACCUUGGCCUCCCAAAGUGCUGGGAUUACAGGCGUGAGCCACUGCACCUGGCCUGGUUUACUUCUGUUAGCAUUAUGUUUUUAAUGUUUAUUCAUGUUUUAUUGUAUGUCUUUUUAUGUUUUUUAUGAAACAAAACUACAUUUUGUUUCUCCAUUCAUCUGUUAAUGGACACAAGUUGUUUCUACCUUUUGGGUAUUACAAAUAAUGGUGCAUGAACACUGCUAUAUCUGUAGUUAAACAUUAAAAAAAAAAAUUGGCUAGAGUGGUGGUUCAUGCCUGUAAUCCCAGUACUUUGAGAGGCUGAGGUGGGCAGAUCACUUGAGGUCAGGAGUUCAAGACCAACUUGGACAACAUGGUGAAACCCCAUCUCUACUAAAAAUACAAAAAUGUGCCAGGAAUGGUGGCGCAUGCCUGUAAUCCCGGCUACUCAGGAGGCUGAGGCAGGAGAAUUGCUUGAAGCCCUGAGGUGGAGGUUGCAGUGAGCCAAGAUGGCGCCACUGCACUCCAGCCUGGGUGACGGAGUGAGACUUUGUUUCAAACAAACAUUCUGUUAGUAAUUCCCCUAGAGAUUACAAUGUGAACCUUGACUUAUUAGAGUAUAAAUAAGUAGUUUACCUCUUCACAGGCAAUGCAAGAACUUAAAUCACUUGAAUUUUAUGUACUUCUCUCCUGACUUAUAUGUUUUUGUUUUUAUUAUUUUCUUUUUUAAAUUUAAUUUUAUUUUUAAAGACAACAUCUCAUUUUGUCACCCAGGUUGGAGUGCAGUGGUGAGGUAGACCACCAGAGGCACUAGCAAUCCCAAAUUCCCUUGAUGUCUCUCUAAAAUAAUAAUUGGUUGCAGUUGGCCCCAGGGAACAGGUGUCUACCACUAGACACAAACACCUGAAACUGAUCAGCAGCUUCCCGAUAAGAUCUCAGGGGUAGGGCAGGUUGGCUCAAGCAUGCACCCGAAAAGGAAAAAUGGCAGAGUUUAACUGGUAUAUGACCUUCUAGGGGCAUCCCACUGGUAAGGGAAGAAUGCCUCAAGGGAGCAUGUAUACAGCCCCAGUGAACACACUGCGCAUGCUCACCUCCCCAGUGCUAGAGGCCACUGCACAUGCAGGCAGCCCACUCCAAGGGAACAAUCGGGAGAAGGGACGCAAGACCCAGGAAGCAUGCCAAUGAAUAAAACCCCAAGUCAAAAGGUCAGACGGUGCUCUUGAUCUCUCAAGUCGUGUCUUUGGCCCUUUUCCAAGCAUACUUUACUUCCCUUCCUGCUCUAAAGCAUUUUAAUAAACGUUCACUCCUGCUCUAAAACUGGCCUCAGUCUCUCCUCCUGCCUUAUGUCCCGCAGUCAACUUCUUUUUGUCUGAGGAGGCAAGAAUUGAGGUUGCUGCAGACUCAUAUGGAUUUGCCAUGGGGAACAAGACCCCACAGGUUAAGGGUUUCAAUCCCAUAAGACUGCCCCCACUUCAGAUGCAGGUCACAAGUCCUGGGGUGUCCCAAAGCCACGUACACUUUUGCCCAUCAGGGUAUAAAUUUGGGGCUUCCCAUGACACUCCCUCUCCCUCUCCAAGGUUUGAUAAUUUCCUAGAAUGACUCAAAGAACACAGGAAAGUGCUAUAUUUAUAGCUACAGCUUUUAUUGUAAAAGAUACAACUCAGGAACAAUCAAGUGGAGCAUGCAUAGGGUAAGAUCUGGAGGGGGUGGGGGAAACAGGAGACUGUCCCUGUGGAGUCCAGGUGUGCCAUCCUCCCAGUACAUCAAUAUGUUCACCAACCAGGAAGCGACCCAAUCCUCGAUGUACAGUUCUUAUUGAGGUUUCAUUACAUUGGCAUGCUUGAUUAAAUCAUUAGGCAAGUGAUAAAAUUCAACCUACAGUUUCUCCAUCUCUUCUGUGGUGGUGGGGGGAAGCGGGGCAGGAAAUUAACAUUCCACUUCCAUGAUUAUAUGGUCAAUUUUCUGGUGACCAGCCCCAAUCCUGAAGAUAUCUAGGGGCCCAAAUAGGAGUCACCUUAUUAGCAUAACAAAAACAUCAUUCAGGAAAUGCCAAGGUUUUUUGAAGUUCUAUGCCAGAAACCAAGAAAAAAGACCAGAUAUAUUUUUUAUUCUACUGCAGCCUUCAGAUAUAUUCUUUGCAUAUAUAAUGUGUAAAGUAGUUCUAAUUGUUCUCAGGGAAGGAUUGGUCAGAAAUGCCUAGGCCACCAUAACCAGAAGCAAAAUUCUCUUGCUAAUCAAUAAAUCAUAUUAAAUGAAAAAAGAAACAGCAAGAGAAAGAAGAGAAUAAGAGAAUGAAACACUGGAACAAUAAAAAAGUGAAUGAAACUGUAGGUAAAAAGAAAAUAAACCAUGAAGUGAGAAAUGAUUCUUUUAAAAGGAGAGAAAAUGACAGCGGUGGAACAGUACUCUUGAGGCAAAGGUAAAACAUUCAACAUUUUUCAUGAUUACAGUUCUGCACCUUGCAAACUUCACUUUCCGCCUCUUUGAGGUCCCAUCUUCCUUCGCAACCUAGGUAAGCCAUCCAGUGAAAUGUUUUUUGGCGAUGGCAAUGUUCUAAAUCUGUGCUGUGCAGUAUGGUAGUCACUAGCCACAGGUGGCUACUGGGCACUUGAAAUGGGACUAGUGUAACUGAGGAGCUGCAUUUAAACUUUCCAUUUAAUUGAUAAUUAACUUAAAAUUUUUAAAAUUGCACGUGGCUUCCAUGUUGACAGUGCAAUCUUAGAGGUUUCAUCUUGUGACACAAGUUAGGAGCUUCUGAAGAAAGAACAGAGCCUCCACCACACCCAAAUUCCCAUAGCACCUUUCCCAGCUUAACACCACAUAGCAAGGGCUGGAACUCUAGAAUUGCAGAAAUGUGACUAACAUUUCCUUUGAUAUAGCUCAGGGUCUCUGCCUAAGUGUUACAACUCACAAUUAUGAAUGAAAACAUGAUUUCUUUUUUCCAAAAGAGAAGCCAGGGGAAAAAGUUUUAUAUAAUAACUAGAACAGACAUAUACAGAACAGUAACACCAUCACUAUUUGGAGAGAUGAAAAUGUCCUAUAUAGUGACUGGGUGUUGUUACAUGGAGUAGAUCCCUUUUUCAAAAUUGGAGAGCUAAGAUGUGUUCAUUUCAAUGUGUGUAAAGUUUAUGUUCCAAAAAAAUUGCAAAAAAUAACCCCAGUGGGGAUGGGGUGGAGAGUUGUUAGGUAUAGUUGAAAUAAUAAUGACAAAAUACUGAGAAUUGUUGAAGCUCGGUAAUGGGUAUAUAGGGAUUUAUUAUAUCAUUAUGUUCCUUUUUAUAUGUUGAAAUUUUUCCAAAUAAAAAAUCUUUAAAAAUAUGUAUUCUCCAAAUUAACACAUACAUAUAGAAAAAAAGUGGCAGAAAGACACAUUACAAAAUGGAAAGAGUAAGUCUUAUUUUUAAGACACCACGUGUAUUUAUUAUUUCAUGUUUUUAAAGGGUGAUAUAUUCAAGCAUUUUCUAAAUGAAAAUUCACAUUUUUCCAUCCCUCUCCCCAUCUACUCAGUUCUACCUGCUGAUACCUGUUCAGAAUUUGUAUGUAAGUAUAAACAAAUAUUACUUACAAUCUUAUUUUCUCCUUUUCUACUCCUAAAGUAACAUACUAUACUAUUGUUGUGCACCUUGCUUGCCAUUUAACAACAUAUUUUAGAGAUCUUGCCACAUCAGUACAUACAGGGCACAUUCAUUUUUAAGCUGCAUAGUAUUACAUUGUAUGCAUGCACCAAAGUUUAUUAAAUAAAUCUCCUAUGGAUACACCUUUGGGUAAUUUCCAAUCUUUUGCUGUGACAAAAAAUGCUGCACAAAGUCUGUGAGCCUACUUUGGCUCAGGAGGCUUCCCAAUUAAAACUAUUUAAUUAAAAAGAAAAAAUGUUGCAAUAAAACAUCUUCAUAAAUCAUACACAUUUGUUUAAUGAACACAUUUCAUGUAUGAAGUACACAAAUGUAUUUGCAGGAUAAAUUCCCAGAAGUGGAUUUCUGGGUCAAAGAACUACAAUUUUGUACAUUUUGUAACUUUAAUGAAUAUUACCAAUUGCCAUCCACAAGAGGUGUGCCAGUUUACAGAAUUCAAAAUUACAAAAUUCCUACCAGCAAUGAGAAUAUGUACACAGAUAACUUUAAGAGACUUACCAAGACUGGCUUGACUUGUACAACUUUGUUUAAUGUGUUUAGCAAGGUAAACUAAUAGAUUUGAAACUAAGCCAACUUAUUAGGCCAACUGAUCAAAUACGACAUGAGAAAAAAAAACAUGCUCUUUUCCUGCAGCUUUCCUAUUUAAAUGUCACUCACACUCAGUUUUUAGGAAUUUCACCCACCUAUUGCAGGAGCUAAGUUAUUCCUGUCUUAAUGCCCAGUGAAGUUUCUGCACGUUUGAGAAUCUACUUAGUAUUCCCGAUUGCUCAGAAUUCAGUGAUGUACUGAUUGGUAUUAGUGGAGAUAAUUUGGUUUUAAUUCUCUCAUAAACUUCAACUUGGCUACUUUAUUUUUUUUUUUAAGGAAAACCACAAAAAAUACUCUCUAAAAUGUGGUAAUACAGUACCUGUACUUUUAACAGGGUACCUAAAAUUGUGGAUUGAUAUGACUUUGAAAUAAAGAUCAAUCUGUACUAAUGAGGUGUCAACAUUAUAAUAUUAUAAUCCAAUAAUAUAAUUCAGUGCCUAAUAAUACUAGCCUUAGAGGAAGGCUGUCUGAGUUCAGAUGUUGCUUGGGUACUUACUUAGGCGACCCUUUGCAAGUGGAUUGCUUGCAAUUUAUUUACCUUCACAAAACUUCAAUUCCUUGGUAGCGUUGACAUGAAGAUUAAAUAAAAUAAUCUGAUAAACAUGCACCACUGCUAGGAGCAUCAUCGUCAUUGACAAAUGAUCCCUCCAGUGAGGGCUCACAGAUUAUUUGUCAUAGUUUUUCAUGACAAAGAUUCUGAUUCCUACUAAUUGAGAACAUCAAGAAAAUGUUCUCCGGAUAUUUACUUAGAAGCACUGAUAUGAAAUAUGGUGCUUAUACAUAAUUGUUUAAAGACAGAGUGAAAAGAACAUGGGCUUUGGAGUUGAACAGGGUCGUGGUCUUGAAUACUGGCUCUGCCACUCAGCAGCAAGACACCGUGGCCAAAUAGCAAUCCCUCUGAGUCUCUUAUCUUUAUUUUUAUUUAUUUAUUUAGAGAUAGAGUCUCACUCUGUCGCCCAGGCUGGAAUGCAGUGGCGAGAUAUUGUCUCACUGCAGCCUCCUCCCCUGGGUUCGGGUGAUUCUCAUGGCUCAGCCUCCUGAGUAGCUGGGAUUACAGGCACCUGCCACCUCACCUGGCUAAUUUUUGUAUUUUCAGUAGAGAUGGGGUUUCACCAUGUUGGCCAGCCUGGUCUUGAACUCCUAACCUCAAGUGAUCUGCCCAUCUUGGCCUCCGUGAGUGCUGGGAUUACAGGCGUGUGCCACCAUGCCCAGCCUCUUUCCUUAUCUUUAAAUGGGCAUAGCAUCACCUAUUUUCCAUGGUUAGUGUGAGGAUUAAAUGAGAUAAUGUGUGUAAAGCGUCUGGUGCAAGCUAAGCACCAAUAAAUGAGAACUGUCAUUAGUUAUUAAAGCAAUACAUCUAAUGGUAUUAAUUCAAUUAGCGUUUAUCAAUUGUGCUAUGCCCAACACUGCUCUAGGGAAGCUGCUGGGAAUACAAAAAAUGCAAAUAUUCUCUGUGUGUAUAACACAUAUCUCAAUAAAUACAGAAUACACGUGACAUACAAAAACAUCUUCCACAUCCCAUACAAGCACUGAUAUAGUCUGAAACGGGGAUGAGAUUCAAUAGAAUGCCUGUUUAUCUCUUUUUGGGAAGAACUUACACUGUCCCGAAGCUUAGAGUGGCUAAUUAUGGUUUGAAGUGAUACAAGUCACCUGUACCAUACUGUAUUUUUUCAUUCUGAUUGUUUAGGAAUCAAAAUAAAUGGGAAUGUGUCUUACCAUUUCAGCAUUAUUAUUAUGCUCCACAUACCUUUAAAACAAGUCUUUUGGUGAAUGAUAAAAGCCUGACAAAUGUAGUGCACACACAACCACAGACCAAUACUGAUAAUAUCAAUGCAAAAAUCCUAAUGAAAUAUUCAUUGGAAUUGGGCAAUAUAUUAAUAAUAUAUUACAACCAAAUAAAACUAACUCAUAGAGUGUAACUGUGAUUCAGUGUUAAAACUGUUUUAAACACCACAUUAAUAUGGUGGAAGAG